rnacentral:tRNA from 1 species
CCUGCUGAUGCAAACGGUGAAGCGCUUGACUGCUAACCAAAAGGUUGGUGGUUCAAACCCACCCAGCUGCU